rnacentral:rRNA from 1 species
AGAGUUUGAUCAUGGCUCAGGAUGAACGCUAGCGGGAGGCCUAACACAUGCAAGCCGAGCGGUAGAGAUUCUUCGGAAUCUUGAGAGCGGCGUACGGGUGCGUAACACGUGUGCAACCUGCCUUUAUCUGGGAGAUAGCCUUUCGAAAGGAAGAUUAAUAUCCCAUAAUAUAUUGAUUGGCAUCGAUUGAUAUUGAAAGCUCCGGCGGAUAAAGAUGGGCACGCGCAAGAUUAGAUAGUUGGUGAGGUAACGGCUCACCAAGUCGAUGAUCUUUAGGGGGCCUGAGAGGGUGAUCCCCCACACUGGUACUGAGACACGGACCAGACUCCUACGGGAGGCAGCAGUGAGGAAUAUUGGACAAUGGGUGGAAGCCUGAUCCAGCCAUCCCGCGUGAAGGAAUAAGGGCCUAUGGCUUGUAAACUUCUUUUGUACAGGGAUAAACCUACCCUCGUGAGGGUAGCUGAAGGUACUGUACGAAUAAGCACCGGCUAACUCCGUGCCAGCAGCCGCGGUAAUACGGAGGGUGCAAGCGUUAUCCGGAUUUAUUGGGUUUAAAGGGUCCGUAGGCGGGCUUAUAAGUCAGUGGUGAAAGCCGGCAGCUUAACUGUCGAACUGCCAUUGAUACUGUAAGUCUUGAGUAUAUUUGAGGUAGCUGGAAUAAGUAGUGUAGCGGUGAAAUGCAUAGAUAUUACUUAGAACACCAAUUGCGAAGGCAGGUUACCAAGUUAUAACUGACGCUGAUGGACGAAAGCGUGGGGAGCGAACAGGAUUAGAUACCCUGGUAGUCC